ensembl:lncRNA
ACCAGAACCGUUUUCAGAACUUAAACUUAGAAAUUGUGCACCGUUCUGGUUCUUUUCAAAAAACAGAACCAGUUCUGAAUAAGAACCGGUUCUUCUUUCCCAACUCUACUUGACAGUAUUCUCAAGCUUGCGGUCAUCCCUGUUGCUUGUGCACAUUUUCCUACCCAUUUUCUUCCUUCCAGUCAACUUUGUAUGGCUCCGGAGGGCGGCCGCUGCCUCUCAGUAGAUGUCCUUGCCAGAACGCCAUUGACAGGAUGACAGAAGAGCUGGAAUAUGCUGAUAAAACUCUAG